rnacentral:rRNA from 1 species
GACAGAGGCCUCGAGCGUUAGGCGGAAUCACUGGGCUUAAAGCGUGUGUAGGCGGAUCGUUAAGUACCUUGUGAAAUCCCACGGCUCAACCGUGGAACGGCUGGGUAUACUGGCGGUCUUGGGCCAUUCAGGGGCGACUGGAACAAGCGGUGGAGCGGUGAAAUGCGAGAUAUCGCUUGGAACGCCGAAGGUGAAAACAGGC